GACGAACGCUGACGGCGUGCUUUAGACAUGCAAGUCGAACGAGAACACCCUUCGGGGCGUAGUAAAGUGGCGAACGGGUGAGUAACACGUGGGCAACCUGCCCCUCGCAGGGGGACAACCGGAGGAAACUCCGGCUAAUACCCCGUAAGCUUGUCGGACCGCAUGGCACUGACAAGGAAAGGUAGCUUCGGCCAUCCGGCGAGGGAUGGGCCCGCGGUACAUUAGCUAGUUGGUGGGGUAACGGCCCACCAAGGCGACGAUGUAUAGCUGGUCUGAGAGGAUGAUCAGCCACACUGGGACUGAGACACGGCCCAGACUCCUACGGGAGGCAGCAGUCGGGAAUCUUGCGCAAUGGGCGAAAGCCUGACGCAGCAACGCCGUGUGGGUGAGGAA
rnacentral:rRNA from 1 species